rnacentral:rRNA from 1 species
UGGGGAAUAUUGCACAAUGGGCGCAAGCCUGAUGCAGCCAUGCCGCGUGUAUGAAGAAGGCCUUCGGGUUGUAAAGUACUUUCAGUGAGGAGGAAGGCGUUGUGGUUAAUAACCGCAGCGAUUGACGUUACUCGCAGAAGAAGCACCGGCUAACUCCGUGCCAGCAGCCGCGGUAAUACGGAGGGUGCAAGCGUUAAUCGGAAUUACUGGGCGUAAAGCGCACGCAGGCGGUCUGUCAAGUCGGAUGUGAAAUCCCCGGGCUCAACCUGGGAACUGCAUCCGAAACUGGCAGGCUAGAGUCUUGUAGAGGGGGGUAGAAUUCCAGGUGUAGCGGUGAAAUGCGUAGAGAUCUGGAGGAAUACCGGUGGCGAAGGCGGCCCCCUGGACAAAGACUGACGCUCAGGUGCGAAAGCGUGGGGAGCAAACA